GAAAAUAAUGCUUUUAAAACAACAUUUUUCUUUAGAUUUUUACCUAUGAUGGUGCCUUUCUUAACAAAUGAACGUAGUUUUACUUAGUGAAUCAGGACAUUUGACGUUUUAAAGAGAGAACUUUAGAACCAUAAAAACCACAAAGUCAUCUAAUAAACAUCAUAAGCUAUUGCACAAAGUGAGGACAAAAUGAAGUCAAAGUGGAGUUUAGACAUACUGAUGCAACACGAAUUCCCUAUGAGUCAUAAAGGAAGCUGGGGACAAGUCCUACCAACAUGACAUCAGUGAGUCCACACUUCCGUCUUGCCACAAAGUCCACAGUGAUUCUCUAACCCUGAAUGCUAAGAAAUACUACAUUAUAGAUUCUGACUGCAACCGACGCCUCUACCUCAUAACUGCUAUGGUAAACCUCAAACAGGAAAAUUCUGGAGCAUGUCCCUGUGUCCUCUGAAGUCACCUUCCCUGUUCGUGCAAGAAGAAGCCGGGCACCUCCUUUUUGGUAAAUGAUUCUCCCAAGUGAUGUAACAGGUAGGUUUCUCUAGCAGGUUACCUCUGGACUUCUUGGCAAGUA
rnacentral:lncRNA from 1 species